UCAGGUUCAACCUUUACACCUGAUAUGCGAUCCUCACGAGUUCUCGAUCAUUGAAAGGUGCUUGCAUCUUGAUUUAAUUUUGAACGAGUGGCGGACGGGUGAGUAACACGUGGGUAACCUGCCCUUAAGUGGGGGAUAACAUUUGGAAACAGAUGCUAAUACCGCAUAAAUCCAAGAACCGCAUGGUUCUUGGCUGAAAGAUGGCGUAAGCUAUCGCUUUUGGAUGGACCCGCGGCGUAUUAGCUAGUUGGUGAGGUAACGGCUCACCAAGGCAAUGAUACGUAGCCGAACUGAGAGGUUGAUCGGCCACAUUGGGACUGAGACACGGCCCAAACUCCUACGGGAGGCAGCAGUAGGGAAUCUUCCACAAUGGACGCAAGUCUGAUGGAGCAACGCCGCGUGAGUGAAGAAGGCUUUCGGGUCGUAAAACUCUGUUGUUGGAGAAGAAUGGUCGGCAGAGUAACUGUUGUCGGCGUGACGGUAUCCAACCAGAAAGCCACGGCUAACUACGUGCCAGCAGCCGCGGUAAUACGUAGGUGGCAAGCGUUAUCCGGAUUUAUUGGGCGUAAAGCGAGCGCAGGCGGUUUUUUAAGUCUGAUGUGAAAGCCCUCGGCUUAACCGAGGAAGUGCAUCGGAAACUGGGAAACUUGAGUGCAGAAGAGGACAGUGGAACUCCAUGUGUAGCGGUGAAAUGCGUAGAUAUAUGGAAGAACACCAGUGGCGAAGGCGGCUGUCUGGUCUGUAACUGACGCUGAGGCUCGAAAGCAUGGGUAGCGAACAGGAUUAGAUACCCUGGUAGUCCAUGCCGUAAACGAUGAAUGCUAGGUGUUGGAGGGUUUCCGCCCUUCAGUGCCGCAGCUAACGCAUUAAGCAUUCCGCCUGGGGAGUACGACCGCAAGGUUGAAACUCAAAGGAAUUGACGGGGGCCCGCACAAGCGGUGGAGCAUGUGGUUUAAUUCGAAGCAACGCGAAGAACCUUACCAGGUCUUGACAUCUUUUGAUCACCUGAGAGAUCAGGUUUCCCCUUCGGGGGCAAAAUGACAGGUGGUGCAUGGUUGUCGUCAGCUCGUGUCGUGAGAUGUUGGGUUAAGUCCCGCAACGAGCGCAACCCUUAUGACUAGUUGCCAGCAUUUAGUUGGGCACUCUAGUAAGACUGCCGGUGACAAACCGGAGGAAGGUGGGGAUGACGUCAAAUCAUCAUGCCCCUUAUGACCUGGGCUACACACGUGCUACAAUGGAUGGUACAACGAGUUGCGAGACCGCGAGGUCAAGCUAAUCUCUUAAAGCCAUUCUCAGUUCGGACUGUAGGCUGCAACUCGCCUACACGAAGUCGGAAUCGCUAGUAAUCGCGGAUCAGCACGCCGCGGUGAAUACGUUCCCGGGCCUUGUACACACCGCCCGUCACACCAUGAGAGUUUGUAACACCCGAAGCCGGUGGCGUAACCCUUUUAGGGAGCGAGCCAUGUCUUAAGGUGGAAGGCUGA
rnacentral:rRNA from 1 species